GCGGAUCCAUAUAAAACCUCGAUUUUAAUGCAAUAUUAUGGAGACUCGUGAUGGGUGAGAUAGAGAGCAGUGGUCGGUGAGGGGUUUCACGUGAUACAGGGGAAAUGUAUAAGAAAGUAGCAACUAUGAGAUUGAAACAGGGAAGCCCUUGCCGUGAUCUUUGAACACCAGUAGAAAAAAACUUUUUCCUGCUGAAUUUGAGGAUAUGAAAUAGACAUCCGAUCAUUGUUCUAAUCGACGAGUGGCGCCGACAUGUGAGUCCACCAGCGACCCGCGAGUCACACGGCCUCUGUUUUCUUUUGAUUCGUCAGAAGUCAACCGUCCUCUCGGUUCUUACACCACGAAGUCAACGCUACGGUCGGCAGUCCAAAUCUUUCUUCUUCUCAUGGGAUCCAUGUGCGAUGAUGCUGAAGAACUCGAUGGAGCGCAAGCAGCUCCAUUCCUCCGUCCUUGCAACAUGAUCCUGUUUCUGGAUGUAUCCUAUGUCAGAUCACCUUCUCUUUUGACUGCGUAACUUGGGUGAAUCUACCGUGAAGCUUCUCCUGGAAGUAACUCUGUCCAUGGCUCCCGUUCGUUGAUGCCCAACCUCGACGUUGACGCGGUCUGUACAGAAACAUUCCUUUUACGACGGCCCCGGAGACAUGGUAGUCGAUGGCGACGACCGCCGACUUCCUUUGUUGACAUGGAGAAAGCCGGGUUGCUGAAUUCAAAACCUCGACUUUGACUGCGCAGGUGACUGGAUCUGUGACAGACCUCUCUGCUGUGUGUGGGAAUUGGGAAUGAACUGUAUUUGGAUCAUUCUAUGUUUUGUGUCUUAAGGCAACUGUGAUUUGGAAAUAUUACGAUCUGCAACAUCUCCGCGGGAGCAAUUAUUGCCUUCGAUCCAAGGAAAUGAAAGCGGUUGCUGUUCGUGGGAACACCCGUGAGAAUACUUUUCCGUUUUGUUUGGUCUCAGCUUUGACCGUCGCUGGAGGAGAUGGAUAGCCUGCAUGCUGCGCUCAGAGCCUGUGAGUGCACAGGCAGCCGUGGGAAUCCAGCCAAACUCACAUAGCAAUCAUGACUCAUGCCUUCUUCUUCUCCGAUCCCUUCCAAACUUGCCGGGUAUUCCAAGGUGUUUGAGGGAUUGAUGGUGCUUUGGAGACAAAGGAGGCCUCGGAUUCAACCGUUCCUCCAAGCAAAAAUGAAGGCAUCUUUGACCGAUCCGGGUGAGAUUGAUGGCGGAAGUGCAGCCGCCAGUCAAAUCUAAUCCAAGCCCCAAGCUUGACCUUGACUUUUUCCAUGUCCCAUUCUCAUCCCAAGCCCCUUCCCCAAGAAAAGAACCAUUGAGAACAUGGCAACGUGGAGCAGUACUUGGAGGCCAAGGCAACUAAAUUUAAACCCCUGCAGAAGCCCUGGGAGCAGCCUCAACUUAACGAAGAAGAAGGAAAGAGAGCUUUCGACUCACAGUAUGUUGGCGAGGAAAGAGGAGGUGGGAUCAAAGAAGGCUCAAGUAGCUCGAGAUGCCUCGACGACCAUCACCACUGCAACAGGUCAUGUAAUGGCUGUGUCCGAGUUCAUCGCCCAAUUCGAUGAGGCUGCGAGGAAGAGACUAAACCGCAUGAACGAGAAGCUGAAGGAGUUGGAGACGCAAAUGGAAGCGCUCGAGGCAGAGAUGAGCAAAGCAAAUGACUCCUCCGACUGGUCUUAGUUCCUCCUUCCAUCUACUGCAAACAUGAUAUCUUAUCAUGGGAACAGAGGGAUGAAGCAUGCGGAAUCACAACAUGAUAAAAGACCUCUCUUCUUUUGUCUUCAUGGGAUAUGUUUGCAAGAGCUAAAAUGGGUGAAGUAGAUCAAUCAUGGUGGUCUUGGAUCAGCUAAUUCUGCCUAUUGUUCUGUCAAAUUGCAGUAGAGGGAGCACUCCAAUUCUGACAGCAACUUGCUUCUUGAA